UCUCUGGAGAAUCCUAGUCUUUCUAGGUGCCGAAGGGGCAAGGUGCAUGGCGCUGGCCACCAAGCCAAUGACCAAGUGCUAAAACUCUCAGGCAAAAGGACAGAGUU
rnacentral:ncRNA from 1 species